rnacentral:lncRNA from 1 species
GCUUCUUCAAGGAAAACUGCUGAGAAAAUGAAGUCACUUGGAGCCAAAUUUCCAACAGUGUGUGACUGUUCGUGACAUUCAAUUUUUAAAUCUCUCUUGGAGAGGAAUUCCAUGGAGGCAUCAGACUUCAGCAUCUCAGAGUGUCCUUUUCAGCAAGUGGAAGGGAGGCUUAGCAAAGUCUCAGCACCAGCUAUACUCUGAAGGCAGGGAAACCGUUUGCUUCUCUUUUUCCAACACUCAGCUUCGGUGUCUAAGCCACGGUCCAGUCCUUUGGAAGGAGCUGGGUAAUACGUUGUUAACUGGAAAACAAGCAAUCUUCACUUCCUGUCUCUUCAAGUCAGCAGUCCAGGGAUCAGGACCACAAACCUGUCUCUGGGACAGGCCCGAAGAGAUGGUGGCCUUUAGGUGGGCAGAGAAGAGAGCUGUCAGCGUCCAAGAAAGCCAAGGUCUGGGCAGCCUCCCAGAUGCCUAGGAGCUUUUCCUCUUGCAAUCCGUGCCCCAUGGGACACGUUCCUCCUCCUCAGGGUGGAUCAGACCGACUGACUCACCUCUAACACACUUUGGCCAGACCGAUGGCAUCAUGAAAGCCUACGAAGACACUCCAGGUCCAUCGCAGAGCUCCCUCCCCACGCGGCCUCUUAAAUCAUGUGUUCUCGGGGAAUUUAUCUACCCUGCCGUGAACAGCACCAUCAAAGGGUCACCUGGAAUGUAAACUAGUACAACCAUCGUGGGUGUUGGUAUGGGGAGGACUCGAAAAACUAAAAGCAGGUAUCUUCCCAAAAGAGUUAAAGUCACACAUUAUAGUAAUACAGGCAACCCAUGUAUAUAGCAGCAGAACCCAUAAUAGAUGAAUCUUGACAGUGGCCUAUGUGUCCAUCAGCAGACGAGUAGAUAAAGAAUAUGUGGUACUUAUACACAAUGGAGUUCUGCUCUGCCAUAAAGAAAGAUACACUUGAGUCAUUUAUACAAAAAUGGAUGGAUCUUCAGACCAUAAUGCUAGGUCUAAUAAAUCAGACACAGAGGGUUAAAUAUCACAUGGUUUCCCUUACAUGACACUCAGAGUAUAAAUAAUUUAAAGAGAAAAAUAAAGAGAGAUGGUGGGAAAUAAGGCAGUAGACUGCGUGGAGAUGGGAAGAGGGUCUUGAGUAAGAGAAAAGGGGAGGCAGGGAGGGAGGGAUUGAAAUGAUCAAGACGCGACGUGUACAUGUACCAACUCCCCAG